rnacentral:rRNA from 1 species
CCUACGGGAGGCAGCAGUGAGGAAUAUUGGUCAAUGGGCGCGAGCCUGAACCAGCCAAGUAGCGUGAAGGAUGACUGCCCUACGGGUUGUAAACUUCUUUUAUAAAGGAAUAAAGUGCGGCACGUAUGCCUUUUUGUAUGUACUUUAUGAAUAAGGAUCGGCUAACUCCGUGCCAGCAGCCGCGGUAAUACGGAGGAUCCGAGCGUUAUCCGGAUUUAUUGGGUUUAAAGGGAGCGUAGAUGGGUUGUUAAGUCAGUUGUGAAAGUUUGCGGCUCAACCGUAAAAUUGCAAUUGAUACUGGCAGUCUUGAGUACAGUUGAGGUAGGCGGAAUUCGUGGUGUAGCGGUGAAAUGCUUAGAUAUCACGAAGAACUCCGAUUGCGAAGGCAGCCUACUAAACUGUAACUGACAUUGAUGCUCGAAAGUGUGGGUAUCAAACAGGAUUAGAUACCCUAGUAGUC